rnacentral:rRNA from 1 species
UACGGAAGGCAGCAGUGGGGAAUAUUGCACAAUGGGCGAAAGCCUGAUGCAGCUAUGCCGCGUGUAUGAAGAAGGCCUUAGGGUUGUAAAGUACUUUCAUCGGGGAGGAAAAACAAAACUAAUAAUUUUAUUUCUUGACGUUACCCGAAAAAGAAGCACCGGCUAACUCCGUGCCAGCAGCCGCGGUAAUACGGAGGGUGCUAGCGUUAAUCAGAAUUACUGGGCGUAAAGAGCACGUAGGUGGUUUUUUUAAAGUCAGAUGUGAAAUCCCUGGGCUUAACCUAGGAACUGCAUUUUGAAACUGAAAUACUAGAGUAUCGUAGAGGGAGGUAGAAUUCUAGGUGUAGCGGUGAAAUGCGUAGAUAUCUGGAGGAAUACCUGUGGCGAAAGCGGCCUCCUAAACGAAUACUGACACUGAGGUGCGAAAGCGUGGGGAGCAAACAGGAUUAGAUACC